UUUAAGUGUAGUUGUGAGUUUCUGUGUUUAACAUUUGACUAUCCGUCUUAUUUGAAUUUCUUUAAUGAUUAGUAUUAUUAUCGUUAUUAGAUGAUAAAACAUGAAUAGUGUUUUAUGCAUGACUUUUUUUUUAAAAAAAAUAUUUUAUCAUAAAUUUUUUAAAUAAGAUGAAUGAUCAAACAUUAGGCAUAUAAAUCCAUAAUUACACUUAAA
rfam:Oryza meridionalis cultivar OR44 (W2112) chromosome 8, whole genome shotgun sequence.